AAAUGAUGCAAUCACUCAAAAUAGCUAGAAUCACCAGCAAAUUUUGUAGUGGUGAACCUAUGGUUUUCUGAAG
rnacentral:snoRNA from 12 species